GCCCGGCUGGCGCAAUGGCUAGCGCGCAAGACUUCUAAUCUUGAGGUUGGGGGUUCGAGUCCCCCGUCGGGUU
rnacentral:tRNA from 1 species